rnacentral:tRNA from 1 species
GAGAAAGAAUCAAGAACUGCUAAUUCUAGAAUCCAUACCUAAAACUAUGGCUUUCUUA